rnacentral:lncRNA from 1 species
CCCAAAUUAUCUAAUCAACAAGUGGGCGACUGAAUUGAGUAGCCAAUUCUCUAAAUAAGAAAUGCAAAUGUCUAAUAAGUAUAUGAAAUUAUAAAUAUCCACAGAAUUGCAAAUCAAAAGAACGUGAAGAUUUUAUCUUCUGCCUAUCAGAAUGGUCAUUGCCACAACAACAGCAAAUCCCUGGCAAGGAUGAGAAGGGCACCGUUAUCCACAACUGGUAGGAAUGCAAAACAAAAACUAGAACUUGGAGCUGGCAAGAUGGCUCAGCAUGUAAGAGCACUGACUUCUCUUCUGAAGGUCCUGAGUUCAAAUCCCAGCAACCACAUGGUGCUUCACAACCACCCGUAAUAAGAUCUGAUGCCCUCUCCUGGUGUGUCUGAAGUCAGCUACAGUGUACUUAUGUAUAAUAAUAAAUAAAUCUUUUUUUAAAAACUUAGAACGUUAUAUUGUCGGGGUCCAGCCUCGACACAGGAUCAGGGUUCUCAACUGGAAACAGGGAUAUCUGUCUGGAAGACAACUUUUUGGGUACAAACUGAUAGGCAAUUUUUUAAGGCUUACAGUUGUUCUCUCUCUUUCUCUCCCCCACCCCCCUUAAUUUAAAUUUUUUUGAGCUGCUUCUCUUUCCACUGUUUAUUAUUAAUGUACAAAAUAUACAAAACCAAAAGAAAAACUCCUCAAGUCCACUGUGGUUCUAACCCAAGACCCUGCACAAACAGGAACCCACUGUUUUCAUAGAAAACAACUGAUGCCAAGACAGGGGGAGGAGACGACUGGGAAGGGCCCUACUGCUGAGUCUGCCCAGGAAGCCUCACUGGCGGGCUCCUCAUGGGGUAAGGAAGGAGCAGGCGCACUCCCAAAGGCAGUGCAUGUAGUGCUUCAGGCCCGCUGUACCCGGCUAAAGUUAAUGAAAGCUGGUCUCACGGAGUCUCUAAUACCGCUGUAGGCAGGAGUGGCCCAACACUACAGGAUGCCCCUCUGCCAGAUAACAAAUUCCAUGGAUACAGAUGUGAAUGUGCCAUCACUGAACCUAGCAGACCCACGAUGACGUGGGAGGUAACAGUUGCAGAUUUUCUUGAGAAAGGACUCAACAGUGACUGGCCCAUGUGGGGCACAAGUGGGGGUGGUUCCAGAACUCAGCUUCAGCCAGCUUGAGCCCUCAGUGCAGUGUAGUGGGAUAGAUGGUACCCCUCACCACCCCCUCGCCCUGUGAGGAUAAUGAGCUUAGUUUGGAUGGUUUCCUAAGUGCAGCUGACCCACUUAGUUCCGUGUGCAUGUGGAGAGCAGAGGUCUCCAGAGUGACCAGCUUUAGGUUCUCAGGCAGCGGGGCUAAUACUGGAAAGGGUUUGGGGCACACGGCAAAUCUCCUCACGGAGUGAAGCCAGCUGUCUCGGCAGUCCAGCAUCUAGAGUGUGUCCAGUCUCCUCUCCAGACUGGAGGGGACUAUGUACAUCAAUGCACACCAGGAAUCAGAAACCCCCAGAAACCCAACCAGGUGGGAACUGAGGGACCGGCUCCUCAUCAGCUGAGGAAAAGGACAGUGGGCCUCACAGAAGCCAUAACCAAGUGGAAGGAUCAAGGCUGCAGUCCACAGGGGUGCCGGUAGGGCAGGCAGGCCUAGGGCAGUGGGGGCCCAUUGACCCCUGGGUGGUAGAAGGCACAGUUGUUCUCAUAGCAGCAGUUGCCCUUCAUUAUGAAGUGUGGGCAGACAGGGCGAUUUGACAUGUCUCCUACAUGACUGUGACCUCCAUCAUGCCCUUGGUUGCCGCCUCCCCCAUGGCCAUCAUGACCACGGUGUUCAUGAGGUGGUGGCCCUCGAUGGUCAUGGCCUCGAUGGCUAGGGACAUCAUGUGGCCGGUGGCCAUGGGAUCCUCCGUGUCCAGGGCCUUCAUGGGAACGAUGUCCACCACUUCCACCCAUGUUCCCUCCAGGGCCCACAUGGGAACGAUGUCCACCACUUCCCCAUGUUCCCUCCAGGGCCUUAAUGGGGCCGGUGCCCACCACCUGCAACCAUGCCUCCUCCACCAGGACCCCCUCGGCCAUUUGGGGGUCCUCCUCCGGAACGACCUCCUCUGGCUCCUCGGAACGGAGGUGGUGGCAGUGGCUCAUUUCCUCCUCGACACCCUAGGCCUCUGUGGUAUGGUCCAGGGCCAGGUCCUGGACCCCCACGCAUUGGCCACCUCGCACGGGAUCACCUGGGCCAUCCCAGAAUGGAUCACCUCCCCGAGAAGAUGAUGGGGGACCUAAGAGACAUGGACCCACUGGUCCACUAGGGCCUCCAUGGGGACCUGGCAUGGGCCCUGCAGGACCAGUCCCCCUCUCUUUUAGCUUGAAGGUUGUAUGUACUUUUGCUCUCUAUUAAGGCUGGGGUUGUGCUCUCUCGCUCUCUCCCUUUCUCACACUCUCACACUCACACACUCAUUCUGUGUGUUCUUUUUCUUCUUCCACACACACUUCACACACACUCUUCAUACUCUUUCACACAUUCCAAUUCUCUCCUUACACACUCUCUUCACUCUACUCUCUCACACUCUCUCCACGCAUUCUCCACACACUCUCCACUCACCUCACAUUCAUCUCAUGCACACCUUACUCUCUCUCCACUCGUUCUCUCACCUUUUUCUUGCCCAAGUCUUUUUUUGUUUCUCCAAAAGCAGAUAGAAAAAAAGACAUUGUAUAAUCAUUGCCAAAUCAAAUUCAAAAGAAUGACCGCAUCCCACAAAGAAUCAAGAAUUACAAUUGUUCCCCAAAGUUUCAAGCUUCCUCUAUUCCCAGACCUGUGGCCAAAAUAAUAGUAACUGCAAACUUAACAUUAUUUAAACUUUGAGUUUUGACUUAUUAUACUUCAGAGCACAGAGCUCUGAGGCCAGCUGCUUGCAUUUUCCUGUGACGCUCUAAUGAUAAACGACAUGGGCUAAGCUGCCAGGCAGUGGCCAGAGUCAAUUUACCCUUAACUCAGUAGUUCUGCUAGCUUUCUGCUUCUGCACAUUGCACACAACUCUUCUACGAGUCCCAGUAUUUUUAUUUAGUUUUACAAAUAUAUAAUUUUAUGCAUUCUAUACUUUCUUAUCCAUACAUAUCCAAAGGAGACCAGGAACUACUAUCAAAUGUUGUACAG